UUAAAAUGCAGUCUGCACGCGAAGCAGUGGUCUCGUUACAGAUGCCUAUUGUAGCAAUAUAGCCACUGACUGAGUAUAACGGAGUGUUGAAAGAUAGAACGCAUAGAUGUGAGGAUAUUAUGUGAGACGGUCUGUCGUUUUGGUUGGGGUUAUUUUCGAAGACAGAAUAGCUAGCUGACUUACAGUUUUGUGCUAAAGACAUAAUUUUCUGAGUUAUCAGACCGGCUUCUAUUUUUCUAGCGCCAACGUAUCUGAUACCCUUACUACCCGGAUGUCUACUGCUUUGACAUUUUUACCAAUCUAAGAUGGAUGCAACGAAUUACAUUGGCUCUAUUUCUAUUCUCUUCUUAACACUGUGUCUGUUCGUUCAGAAAGGUCUUGGUAUCAGAUGUUAUACAUGUAAUUCAUACUAUCAUCAUGAAGAUUGCAUAAAUUUACCAAAAGAAUUACAUCAUUUAUAUGAAUUAAAUUGUGAUGAAUUACCAGGAAAUAAGAACUAUACAAGAUGUAGAAAAAUGCUGCAAACGUACAAUAAAGAAGUACGAAUUGUCAGGCAGUGUGCCACUAGCGGUGAUGCUGGUUGUAGAAGACGUAUUGGUACACACCAUUUUUCUAUAGAGUACUGUGAAUGUACUGAAGAUUAUUGUAAUUCGGCACAAAAACGAAUGACGUCACUACCGAUUCUUUUCGCAAUUAUUAUUCUAAUAUGGCGACUUCUUAUGUAGAAUUUUACGUUAAAGUAUUCCAAUUAGUUGUAGACAACCCAGUUGCUAAUGUGAAAGCUUUUAAGGACCUAGAGCUUUAUGUUUGUUUUUAUAGGAAACCAACUAGCAGGAUUUUAAGUUGAGUAAUGACUUGGACCUGAUGUUAAUUAUUGUAUGCAUUUAGGUUUCAGUGCUAGAUAAAACAGGAGUUUUCCUUCUUUAAGCCAUAGUUUUAUUUAAUAGCAUACGGACAUGUUUUAUUUAAAGCAUAGUUCAGCAAAUUUUCCAAGUUAGAUCGAUCAAGUUUCAGAACAAGUGGGUUAGUCAGUUUUGUAUGUAGCCUUAUAGAGUAGGCCCUGGAUAGUUUUAGGGAAAAUAAUGACCUAGGAAUAACGAUUGGGUUAUUUUACGUGAAAUUUUUAUAGAGUUCUCGAUAACCAAUUUGAGCAAGAUAUUUUAACCAAUUCCUUAAUAAGGUAUUGUCAUCUGCUGAUAAGAUCCAUAGGAUAUCCGGGAAGAAACGGCAUUAACCCACAAAGAACCUAACAUACCAUGAUGCGUAGGUAGGACCUACAUGUUCUUACCUGGAUGCUUGACAUUUGACCAACAUAUUUUUUUCCUUUUUUAAUUUAAUGAAGAAAUUUUUAAAAAAAUAUUAUAUGUUUUUAAGUAUUUUAAUGUGAACCGUUAUUUAUGUAUAUAAAUGAAAAUGAUAAUGUAAUCUAUAUAUAAAGAUUUUGUGCAUUGUUUUAUUUGAUAACCAUUUAAUCAGGUUUUCAUGUAGACUUUUAUCAGGUGAGACAAUACUAUGCAUCUCCCGAAAUGCUGUAUAUAUUUACUUAUAAUAAACAUAUAUGAAUAUAAAAUACAUUUAUUUAUCAUAACAGAAUAUACCGAGAACAUGCAAAUAUUGAUUAUUAUUAUGAUAAUAAUAAUAAAAAUAAUAACAUCAUACAUCAUGUAUAUAUAUUAUAACACAUCUUGUUAUAGUAAUAAUAAUGUUUUAAAUACUCAUAAUAUGCUUUAGGAUUUACCUUUUGUUCCAUAUUUUGUCAUUCAUAAAUUAAUAUUUUAUCAUUCAUAAACAACUAAGGAUAAAUAUGUUCGAUAACGAAUGGAUUUUUAGAUUCAUUAUUAGAAGUUUAUCCUCCUAGUUAUGUCCAUUUUAUUAAUUGUGAAUUAUUAUUUUAGUCAUAUAUUUUGCAUUUGCUAUGGUCUAAAGAGAAACAUCGCGACUAUAUAAAUUUUUAUGUUAUGUCAUAUGAAAAUAACCGUAAUGAAAUAUCUAAGGACAGACAACUCUUGAUAUCAAAGAUUCAAACCUUAGGCUGGAUUUGAGAAUGUACAUAAUUGGUCAUUAUACACUGAAAUUUAAUUGGCUGAAGAGUUUAUUCAUUUAUUUGUGUAUUAUAAACACGUUUCCCGCAAAAAUUAGUCCAAAUGAGCGGUCUUACUAAUCACCAACAAAACCCAGACAAGAGUGUUUUUUGUCAACAGAUUGUACGUGACAAGGAGUAGAGUCGCCUGUCCAACCUCAUGGAUUUUCUCCGGGUCCUUCGGUUUCCUCCCACUGUUAAAGACCCCUACGCGCAAGCGAAUUAUUGAAACAACACCCUCUCUCUCUCUCGCGCGCACCCUCUCUCUCUCCUACAAAAAGGAAAGAUAAAUGAGCAUAUAAAAUAUUUUGUUGAUGAUUAUUAAGACUCGCAAUAAGCCUAUAUUGAAAAACUAAUUGCAGCUAGACACACAUACACUAUUAAUGCAGUGCUACCACAGAGUUGUGACGUUAAAUAAAGCUAUAUUUUUAGACACUAAUAUAAGAUUAUGCAAAAGCCUUAAGUAAAUUAAUGGAUAAUUAGCAUUAGAUAUACUAUAGUUAUGGUUAUAGAGAAAUUGUAUUUUCGUUGGAUUAUUAUAAUAUAUUACCAUUGUUGCUUGUUUCACCAAGUUCUAUUUUCAUCACUCAGGUUCAAAUUAAAAUGUUGUGAUAUAUAAAAGAGGGUCCCUUAAAUUAAAAUAAAAUAACUACAUAGGCCCCGGUCAGUUUGAAGAAAACCGCUGAAUCCUGUAUAAUACCCGUAUAUUAUACACAUACACGAAGUAGUGAUUUUGAAUUCUCCCGUUGAUUGGCGUUUAUGCCAAAAAUGUAAUAUCCAUAUACAACUGUGUCAUAGUUUGUUUGAUUUAUAAUAUCAUAAUUCAUUUCCGGUCAGUCAGGCUGAAUCAGUGCAUGAUUUAGAUGACGAGGAGCCCUCCCAACCCCCGCGACUUGCGCACCCAUCUAAUCCCCUAUUCUUCUGACUAGAAAAAUUAGUGUACACCGUGGCCGGAAGCCCCUAGGUCUUGGGUAGCAGAAAAUAAGGAUAUGAAUUUUUACAUACAGUUUCAUCGAUCCACUAUUGAUUCAAAAUAGUGAGCUAAUUUAUUAGAUACCAAACAAACAUCUGGCACCAAUUUUGGAUAUACACAUGUUUUUGACUUUAAUGGCACUAAAAAAGUUGACCGGGGCUAUAAUAUGUUGUGUCUGUGAACGAUUUUACUCUAAAAACUAGGUUAUCUCCCUUAGCACACCUUCGCCCAGAUGGUUUGGUUCAAGUCAAUCGUGGAAAUAUAAAACACGUAGUGUGUUAUUGAACUUUUCGUAUAUUCCCAACCUUACCACGGCAUCGGUGUGGGGGUGUGGAGAUAAACAUUUCCACAUUGAAUCAGUUGCUUGGCAAAGACUCCAGAAUUCUAGUCGGUAAUAGACAGUAAUUGUAUUCUACAUGAUUGUGUGUACAGGAUAAUUACUCUUUAUAUCGUUAGUUAUUGUUACUUACUUUAUUAUUCAUUGAAUAUUUUACCAUUAAUUAUUGUUUAAUAGUCGAUGUUUAGAUCUGUUGUUAAUUCUUGAAUAGAUUAUCAGUUGGAUAAUUGUUACAUCGAACAAAUCUGUAUUUAGGCAUUGUUGAUAUAUAAUACAAUUUAAAGUGCUUAUUAUAAACAGGUAGCUAUGAAUUGUCUGUGUGAUCGAUCUUUCAUUUAGAAUAGAGUAGAUUAAUGAAUGUAGAUUAAUGUUCGAAAGAAAAUUAUAGUCAAAGUAAACCGCUUUCAUAAUUUCACUGUCAAAUUCAUGAACAAAUAUUGAUUAUUCACUCUCAAUAUGAGAGACCUAAAAAGAGUAAUAUUCACUAGUUCUUCGACAUUUAUUAUUAUUAUUAUACUAGUUUAAUACUUAUGAUGUCCACGAUGUAUCACCAUACAUAGUAUCAAUAUCUGCAAUAAACAGUUAUUAUA